rnacentral:rRNA from 1 species
UACGGAGGGUGCGAGCGUUGUCCGGAAUCACUGGGCGUAAAGCGCGCGUAGGCGGCCCGGUAAGUCCGUUGUGAAAGUCAAAGGCUCAACCUUUGAACGCCGAUGGAUACUGCCGGGCUAGAGUCCGGAAGAGGCGAGUGGAAUUCCUGGUGUAGCGGUGGAAUGCGCAGAUAUCAGGAGGAACACCAAUAGCGAAGGCAGCUCGCUGGGACGGUACUGACGCUGAGGCGCGAAAGCGUGGGGAGCGAACAGG